UGGGGAAUAUUGCACAAUGGGCGAAAGCCUGAUGCAGCAACGCCGCGUGAGUGAUGAAAGUCUUCGGAUUGUAAAGCUCUGUCUUUUGGGACGAUAAUGACGGUACCAAAGGAGGAAGCCACGGCUAACUACGUGCCAGCAGCCGCGGUAAUACGUAGGUGGCGAGCGUUGUCCGGAUUUACUGGGCGUAAAGGGUGCGUAGGCGGAUGUUUAAGUGAGAUGUGAAAUACCCGGGCUUAACUUGGGUGCUGCAUUUCAAACUGGAUAUCUAGAGUGCAGGAGAGGAGAAUGGAAUUCCUAGUGUAGCGGUGAAAUGCGUAGAGAUUAGGAAGAACACCAGUGGCGAAGGCGAUUCUCUGGACUGUAACUGACGCUGAGGCACGAAAGCGUGGGUAGCAAACAGGAUUAGAUACCCUGGUAGUCCACGCCGUAAACGAUGAGUACUAGGUGUAGGAGGUAUCGACCCCUUCUGUGCCGCAGUAAACACAUUAAGUACUCCGCCUGGGAAGUACGAUCGCAAGAUUAAA
rnacentral:rRNA from 1 species